rnacentral:rRNA from 1 species
GAUCCUGGCUCAGGACGAACGCUGGCGGCGUGCUUAACACAUGCAAGUCGAACGAUGAAGCCCUUCGGGGUGGAUUAGUGGCGAACGGGUGAGUAACACGUGGGCAAUCUGCCCUUCACUCUGGGACAAGCCCUGGAAACGGGGUCUAAUACCGGAUAACACUCUGUCCCGCAUGGGACGGGGUUAAAAGCUCCGGCGGUGAAGGAUGAGCCCGCGGCCUAUCAGCUUGUUGGUGGGGUAAUGGCCUACCAAGGCGACGACGGGUAGCCGGCCUGAGAGGGCGACCGGCCACACUGGGACUGAGACACGGCCCAGACUCCUACGGGAGGCAGCAGUGGGGAAUAUUGCACAAUGGGCGAAAGCCUGAUGCAGCGACGCCGCGUGAGGGAUGACGGCCUUCGGGUUGUAAACCUCUUUCAGCAGGGAAGAAGCGAAAGUGACGGUACCUGCAGAAGAAGCGCCGGCUAACUACGUGCCAGCAGCCGCGGUAAUACGUAGGGCGCAAGCGUUGUCCGGAAUUAUUGGGCGUAAAGAGCUCGUAGGCGGCUUGUCACGUCGGAUGUGAAAGCCCGGGGCUUAACCCCGGGUCUGCAUUCGAUACGGGCUAGCUAGAGUGUGGUAGGGGAGAUCGGAAUUCCCUGGUGUAGCGGUGAAAUGCGCAGAUAUCAGGAGGAACACCGGUGGCGAAGGCGGNUNUCUGGGCCAUUAC